UGUUAAAGAUGUUAUUCAUUUUUAGCAUUAAAAACUUGGCAGUUGCAAGUUUUUUUGUCACUUGUACCUCGUGUUGUUAUACAAGGACAAGUUUUAGUAGUAAAAAUGGAUGAAAUUUUUAACA
rnacentral:pre_miRNA from 1 species